GAACGCUGGCGGCGUGCUUAACACAUGCAAGUCGAACGAAACACCUUAUUUGAUUUUCUUCGGAACUGAAGAUUUGGUGAUUGAGUGGCGGACGGGUGAGUAACGCGUGGGUAACCUGCCCUGUACAGGGGGAUAACAGUCAGAAAUGACUGCUAAUACCGCAUAAGACCACAGCACCGCACGGUGCAGGGGUAAAAACUCCGGUGGUACAGGAUGGACCCGCGUCUGAUUAGCUGGUUGGUGAGGUAACGGCUCACCAAGGCGACGAUCAGUAGCCGGCUUGAGAGAGUGAACGGCCACAUUGGGACUGAGACACGGCCCAAACUCCUACGGGAGGCAGCAGUGGGGAAUAUUGCACAAUGGGGGAAACCCUGAUGCAGCGACGCCGCGUGAGUGAAGAAGUAUUUCGGUAUGUAAAGCUCUAUCAGCAGGGAAGAAAAUGACGGUACCUGACUAAGAAGCCCCGGCUAACUACGUG
rnacentral:rRNA from 1 species